CCUACGGGAGGCAGCAGUGAGGAAUAUUGGUCAAUGGCCGGAAGGCUGAACCAGCCAAGUCGCGUGAGGGACGACUGCCCUAUGGGUUGUAAACCUCUUUAUAAGGGAAGAAUAAAUGCUACGUGGAGCAUGAUGGCUGUACCUUAUGGAUAAGCAUCGGCAAACCCCGUUCCAGCAGCCGCGGUAAUACGGAGGAUGCGGCGUUUAUCCGGGUUUAGUGGGGUUAAAGGGUGCGUAGGCGGUUUUUUAAGUUUGUGGUUAAACGUCGGGGUCUCCCCCUGAUUUGUCAUUAAUACUGUUAGACUCGAGUUCAGACGCGGUAGGCGGAAUGAGUUAAGUAGCGGUGAAAUGCUUAGAUAUAACUUAGAACUCCGAUAGCGAAGGCAGCUUACCAGACUGCGACUGACGCUGAAGCACGAGAGCGUGGGUAGCGAACAGGAUUAGAUACCCUUGUAGUC
rnacentral:rRNA from 1 species